rnacentral:guide_RNA from 1 species
AAACAAAAUCAUUGAGAGUAUCUGAUAGAGUUAUGAUAGUCAAU